ACCUGGGGUAGAGGUGCUUUAAUAAAUAGUAAGUGUAAGGAGUCGGCAGGCGAGGAUUUAUGCUAAAAGGUAUUAUAGCCGAAGAAAUAAAUUUUUAUGUAAGGAUUUAUUUCUGGAUAUUCAUAGAAUAUGUGAAUAGCUGUCACGAAAAGUGUUGAGCUACAAGGUAC
rnacentral:ncRNA from 1 species